rnacentral:rRNA from 1 species
UUGGAGGGCAAGUCUGGUGCCAGCAGCCGCGGUAAUUCCAGCUCCAAUAGCGUAUAUUAAAGUUGUUGCAGUUAAAAAGCUCGUAGUUGAAUUUCGGGGUUCUACCGUUGGUCGGGCUUUGUCUGUACUGGUGUGUAGAAUUUCUACCUUCUGGGGAACCAUCAUGCUAUUAAUUUAGCGUGGUGGGAAACCAGGACCUUUACCUUGAAAAAAUUAGUGUGUUCAAAGCAGGCUUAUGUCUGAAUACAUUAGCGUGGAAUAAUAGAAUAGGACGGUGGUCCUGUUUUGUUGGUUUCUGAAUCACCGUAAUGAUUAAUAGGGAUAGUUGGGGGCAUUAGUAUUCAAUUGUCAGAGGUGAAAUUCUUGGAUUUAUUGAAGACUAACUUCUGCGAGAGCAUUUGCCAAGGAUGUUUUCAUUAAUCAAGAACGAAAGUUAGGGGAUCGAAGACGAUCAGAUACCGUCGUAGUCUUAACCAUAAACUAUGCCGACUAGGGAUCGGAUGAUGUUAAUUUUUUAAUGACUCAUUCGGCGCCUUACGGGAAAC